ensembl:lncRNA
GGGGUUGGUCCGGAGGGAUGGCUGUUCCGGAGAGGGGGUUGGUCCGGAGAUCGGGUUGGUCAGGAGGGAUGGCUGUUCCGGAGAGGGGGUUGGUCCGGAGGGAUGGCUGUUCGGAGAGGGGUUGGUCCGGAGGGAUGGCUGUUCCGGAGAGGGGGUUGGUCCGGAGGGAUGGCUGUUCCGGAGAUCGGGUUGGUCCGGAGGGAUGGCUGUUCCGGAGAUGGGGUUGGUCCGGAGGGAUGGCUUUCUGGAAUCUGGAAGUUGGAUAAUUUUGCCUGAAACACCCUAAACAACUUCUAGAGCCAUAAUCAUUAUGCCUAAUUCUAUUUUUUUUAAAUCUAUGUUUAUUUUUCUGCAUAGGUUAUAUUUAAGCAAUAAGGCCUGAGGGAGUGUGGUAUAUGGCCAAUAUACCAUGGCUAAUGGCUGUUCUUACGCAAGACGCAACGCAGAGUGCCUGGAUACAGUCCUUAGCCGUGGUAUAUUGGCCAUAUACCACAAAACCCUGAGGUGCCUUAUUGCUAUUAUAAACGGGUUACUAAUGUAAUCAGAGCAGUAAAAAUAUUUUUGGGUCAUACCCAUGGUGGCUUUCAGCCAAUCAGCAUUCAGGGCUCGAACCACCCAGUUUAUAAUAGCUAAGAUAGUUGGACAAGCUACUCUAACUUGAUUGAUAGCCUAAAAUGACUUGUUAGCUGCUUAUGAGGUUAGAAGAUUGGGAACCUUUCUAGCUGGUUAGCUAAAGACAACUUUAUAAAAUUGCUUAGUGGCUAGUAUUACAGAGAAACAACAAAACAUUUUAGUUUUAUUUAUUCAUCAAGAAGUAAUCAAAUGGCUACAGAGCUUGAUCACAUUCAUGAGCCCAUUACCAGAAGCUAAAAUCAAAUCAAAUGCUGUGUGUGUCACUCUACUCUCUCUCUCUCCAGUCAGGGUGCCCCCUCUUAAUUAUGAUAAAACGUGAGUUAUUAAUUUAACAUCUGAAAAAAAAAACACACAAAAAAACAGGACAAAUCUGACAGGGCACGUGCCAUUGUGCCUCUAUGGGCAUGACGACACUGUGUGUGUGUGUAUGUGAUCCUGGCUCCUGGCCCUAGUAGACAAACCUGCGUGUUAGCAUGCUGGUCACAUAUCUCAUCUCAGACACCCACACCCACGCACGCACGCACACACACACACCGCUCGUCUCACACUGACAGCUCUGUAUUACGACCCAGCAGUCACAUCUACCUGCACAGGAAGGAGGGAGGAAAGGGGGGUGAAAGGAUGUAAGGAGAGAAGGAAAGAUGGAGUAAAAUAAUCAUCUUACAUUUUUUUCCAUGCCUAUCUUGGUGUGGAUUUGGUGAGGACGAUGACAAUGGCAGAAAAUUACAUUCAAUUAAAAAGUGGCCAAUCUUCAAUCGAGCCCUCCCCAAUAUCCCCUGUGGAUAUUUUAUAUUGUACAUAUUCAAUUCUUUUCUAUACUUUAUAUAUGCUGCUCUUUCCAUGACAUAGACCGACCAGGUGAUCCAGAUGAAAGCUAUGAUACCUGAUUGAUAUCACUUGUUAAAUCCACGUUAAUCAGUGUAGAUGAAGGGGAGGAGACAGGUUAAAGAAUGAUUUUUAAGCCUUGAGACAACUGAAACAUGGAUUGUGUAUGUGUGCCAUUCAGAGGAUGAAUAGGCAAGACAAAAUAUUUAAUUGUGUUUGAACAGGGUAUGCUAGGCACACCAGUUUGUGUCAAGAACUGCAAUGCUGCUGGGUUUUUCACACUCAACAGUAUCCUGUGUAUCAAGAAUGGUCCACCACCCAAAGGACAUCCACGAAUCUAGGCAUUUCUGAGGGUAAAGGGGGGUGCAAUUCAAUACUAGGAAGGUGUUUCUUAAUGUUUGGUAUACUCAGUGUAUAACCAACCAAUCCUUCCAGAUCAAGACAGUUCCUCUGCCCAGAAGGGGAAGUUUGCCAUACAGAACUCUGCCACCUGAUGGCAGUAGUACUCUAGUAUUCCACAUUGACAGUGAAGCCUGUCCUCAUAAUGGUAAUUAUGAAUAAGCUAGAAACCCUCAGUCAACACUAUCUGACCAUGUUAGAAAGAAUCAACGUUUUUAGUUUACCUUCCUUAGUAACCCUUUAACUUUGAACUCAUAUUUGGUUGUUAUUUAUGAUAAUGUUACACACACUUUGGAUUCAUGGUUCAGGGAAUGGAGAGGAGGGAGAAAGAAAAAGCAUGCACUCCCCUCCCCUCUCUUAAAAGUGCGUAUCAUUAACACCCGUAACAACUUCUGCAUCUCAAUAGCAGUGGCGGUGCAAUUUAAAGUAUAGUGAUUUUACACACAUGACUUCUAUCUUUAACCAAGGUCGCUGAGAUCCUAUCUGAAGGUUAAGUCUGACUGACUCCUUCGGCAGCUACUCACACUGUGUGUGUAUGUGUGCACAAAGCUUGCGUGUGUGUGUUGUAUGUGCGUGCGCUCUAACGUGUGGGGUGUCAUGUUAUCUGCUAUGUGCUACCCUCAUAGCUAGGCAGUAAAAGAUAUAAGGAACAAUUGGUAAAAGUGACAGUUUAAUAGAGAAAGAUUAUCCUCGCUACAAUCAAUUUAAUUGAAUUGAAUACAUUUUCCACCACAGGUCGAACGGGGUUCUUGGAUGAAUGAGCCUGUCGGAUGGUUUUUGUCUUUGUAGUGAUAGAGGGAGAGAAAGAGAAGGGAGAGAGAGAGAGAGAGGGAGAGAGAUAGAGAAGAGAUAGAGGAGAGAGAGAGAGAGAGAUAGAGAGAGGAGAGAGGGAGAGAGAUGAGUAGAGAGAGAGAGGGAGAGAGAGAAGAUGAGAGAGAGAGAGAGGAAGAGAGAUCUAGAGCGAGAGAGAGAGAGAGAGAGAGAAGGCGAGAGAACGUG